rnacentral:rRNA from 1 species
CCUAUGGGGGGCAGCAGUGGGGAAUAUUGCACAAUGGGGGAAACCCUGAUGCAGCGACGCCGCGUGAGUGAAGAAGUAUUUCGGUAUGUAAAGCUCUAUCAGCAGGGAAGAAAAUGACGGUACCUGAUUAAGAAGCCCCGGCUAACUACGUGCCAGCAGCCGCGGUAAUACGUAGGGGGCAAGCGUUAUCCGGAUUUACUGGGUGUAAAGGGAGCGUAGACGGAGAUGCAAGGCAGUAGUGAAAGCCGGGGGCUCAACACCGGGACUGCUUUUGAAACGGUGUGACUGGAGUGUAGGAGAGGAAGGAGGAAGUAGGGGGGGAGCGGGGAAAGGAGGAGAGAGAAGGAGGAACAUGGGGGGAGAAGGGGGACGGAGGGACGGAAAAGGAGGUGGAGGUGCGAAAGAGUGGAGAGAAAACAGGAGGAGAGAGACCAGUAGGA